AUCCAGUUGAUGAGUCCCAAAUAGGACGAAACGCGCAUCCUGGAU
rfam:Schistosoma rodhaini strain Burundi genome assembly, scaffold: SROB_scaffold0002969